AAGGAAAAGAAGUGUAUUUAAUCUUAUUCCAGAAUAGAUUUAAAGGAAUAGCUUUAUAAAAUAACGUUAAAUAUAAAAUCGCCUCUUUCAUUUUUUUUACAUACUGAAAUUAAAUCCAGCAGAUUUGUAUACACAGUGUGUUUAUCCUAAGAGAAAGUGAGGUUCAAAAAAAGUAGCAUUUAAUGCAUCUAGGAGAUCCAGUGAUAUCUA